GAAGAAGAGCAGGUGAGCAAACUUAUCAAAGUCCGACUUUGUGACAUGACUACGAGGUAGAAUAAGUGGGAGCUCUGGCGCCAGUGAAAUACCACCACUCUUGACGUUAUUUUACUUAUUCCAUGAGUUGGAAGCUGUUCUCCAUACUCCAUGUAUUUGUCAACA
rnacentral:rRNA from 1 species